GACGAACGCUGGCGGCGUGCUUAACACAUGCAAGUCGAACGGUGAAGCGCUUGCCUUUUUGGUGGGUGUGGAUGAGUGGCGAACGGGUGAGUAACACGUGAGUAACCUGCCCUCUUCUUCUGGAUAACCUCAUGAAAGUGGGGCUAAUACGGGGUAUUCCGGGUCUGUCGCAUGGCGGGUUUGGGAAAGAUUGCGCCUUUGGGUGUUUUCGGUGGGGGAUGGGCUCGCGGCCUAUCAGCUUGUUGGUGGGGUGAUGGCCUACCAAGGCGGUGACGGGUAGCCGGCCUGAGAGGGUGGACGGCCACACUGGGACUGGGACACGGCCCAGACUCCUGCGGGAGGCAGCAGUGGGGAAUAUGGCACAAUGGGCGCAAGCCUGAUGCAGCGACGCCGCGUGAGGGAUGGAGGCCUUCGGGUUGUGAACCUCUUUCGCCAGUGAAGCAGGCCUGCUCCUGUGUGGGUGGGUUGACGGUAGCUGGAUAAGAAGCGCCGGCUAACUACGUG
rnacentral:rRNA from 1 species